rnacentral:rRNA from 1 species
CAGCCGCCGCGGUAAUACGGAGGAUCCGAGCGUUAUCCGGAAUUAUUGGGUUUAAAGGGUGCGUAGGCGGAUAGAUAAGUCAGUGGUGAAAGACGGUGGCUCAACCAUCGCAGUGCCGUUGAUACUGUUUAUCUUGAAUAUGGAUGAGGUAGGCGGAAUGUGGCAAGUAGCGGUGAAAUGCAUAGAUAUGCCACAGAACACCGAUUGCGAAGGCAGCUUACCAAGGCAAAAUUGACGCUGAGGCACGAGAGCGUGGGGAUCGAACAGGAUUAGAUACCCCAGUAGUCCCUGUCUCUUAUAC